AGUGAACGCUGGCGGCAGGCCUAACACAUGCAAGUCGAACGGCAGCACAAGAGAGCUUGCUCUCUGGGUGGCGAGUGGCGGACGGGUGAGGAAUGCAUCGGAAUCUGCCCAUUUGUGGGGGAUAACCUCGGGAAACCGGGACUAAUACCGCAUACGACCUACGGGUGAAAGCAGGGGAUCUUCGGACCUUGCGCAGAUGGAUGAGCCGAUGCCGGAUUAGCUAGUUGGAGGGGUAAAGGCCCACCAAGGCGACGAUCCGUAGCUGGUCUGAGAGGAUGAUCAGCCACACUGGGAAUGAGACACGGCCCAGACUCCUACGGGAGGCAGCAGUGGGGAAUAUUGGACAAAGGGCGCAAGCCUGAUCCAGCCAUGCCGCGUGUGUGAAGAAGGCCUUCGGGUUGUAAAGCACUUUUGUUGGGAAAGAAAAGCAGCCGGUUAAUACCCGGUUGUCAUGACGGUACCCAAAGAAUAAGCACCGGCUAACUUCGUG
rnacentral:rRNA from 1 species